CAAGAAAGCCAUGUCCCAGCUUGGACUGGCUUAGGGCAAGAACAAAGAAGGACACCCAGAGAGGGGCAGCAGAGCUGACUGAUGUUUGAAGGACAGUCCAGAGUGAAGAGAAUAGAACAGAGCUUAUUAUCUGACAUUGGACAAGCGUUAAUCACUUUCUAGGCAGUUCCAAUCUUGGGCAUAGAGAGUGCAAAGCCACAAAAUGUAAACCAACUCAUAACAACCUUCUUGCUCCUUGUUGGCACACAGUGAGGGCCAGUCCACCAGUCCCACCUCUUCCGAUUCUCAGGUAAAUGUGGAGUGAAUAUGCAAAUCGUGGAUCUGAAGGGGUUAAAUUUGGCUUAUCAUCACAUCUCCCUGCAGCCCGCCACUCCUCUUGCAUCCCCACACAGGUAGAGCGUUCUUCUUUGUGUCCAGCAUGGAAAGCCGUUUCUGACCAGCUCUUACCACACACUGUGAUCUCCUCGCUGUAACAGGUUGAGACCCGGUUGAUGUUUGGCAGCUGUACCAGAUGUUUCUUGGUUUCAUACAAAAGGUUCAAGACGUAGCGAGCAUGGAGCUGCUACUGGGAGGAAGAGGAGGGAAGGAAGAAAACAACACUGAUAUUCGUGAGGGAAAAUGGUCCUUACCUUUACUGCUUAACAACCCCCAUCACCUAAGACCCCAAAAGUAACCCCAGUAAACUGCUCCUGGGACUAUG